rnacentral:rRNA from 1 species
UGAGGAAUAUUGGACAAUGGCCGGAAGGCUGAUCCAGCCACGCCGCGUGCGGGAAGACGGCCCUAUGGGUUGUAAACCGCUUUUGCGAGGGAGCAAUAAGGUCCACGUGUGGGUCGAUGAGAGUACCUCGCGAAUAAGCAUCGGCUAACUCCGUGCCAGCAGCCGCGGUAAUACGGAGGAUGCAAGCGUUAUCCGGAUUUAUUGGGUUUAAAGGGUGCGCAGGCGGCUUGUUAAGCGGGAGGUGAAAUGCCGGCGCUCAACGUCGGAAGUGCCGCCCGAACUGGUGAGCUGGAAUGACUCUGCCGUGGGAGGAAUGUGUAGUGUAGCGGUGAAAUGCUUAGAGAUUACACAGAACACCGAUUGCGAAGGCAUCUCACGAAGGGUUGACUGACGCUGAGGCGCGAAAGC